rnacentral:rRNA from 1 species
GAGCACUGUUUCGGCUAGGGGGCCAUCCCGGCUUACCAACCCGAUGCAAACUGCGAAUACCGGAGAAUGUUAUCACGGGAGACACACGGCGGGUGCUAACGUCCGUCGUGAAGAGGGAAACAACCCAGACCGCCAGCUAAGGUCCCAAAGUCAUGGUUAAGUGGGAAACGAUGUGGGAAGGCCCAGACAGCCAGGAUGUUGGCUUAGAAGCAGCCAUCAUUUAAAGAAAGCGUAAUAGCUCACUGGUCGAGUCGGCCUGCGCGGAAGAUGUAACGGGGCUAAACCAUGCACCGAAGCUGCGGCAGCGACGCUGAUGCGUUGUUGGGUAGGGGAGCGUUCUGUAAGCCUGCGAAGGUGGCCUGUGAGGGUUGCUGGAGGUAUCAGAAGUGCGAAUGCUGACAUAAGUAACGAUAAAGCGGGUGAAAAGCCCGCUCGCCGGAAGACCAAGGGUUCCUGUCCAACGUUAAUCGGGGCAGGGUGAGUCGACCCCUAAGGCGAGGCCGAAAGGCGUAGUCGAUGGGAAACGGGUUAAUAUUCCCGUACUUGGUGUUACUGCGAAGGGGGGACGGAGAAGGCUAUGUUGGCCGGGCGACGGUUGUCCCGGUUUAAGCGUGUAGGUGUGUGUUCCAGGUAAAUCCGGUUCACUUUAACACUGAGGCGUGAUGACGAGGCACUACGGUGCUGAAGCAACAAAUGCCCUGCUUCCAGGAAAAGCCUCUAAGCAUCAGGUAACAUCAAAUCGUACCCCAAACCGACACAGGUGGUCAGGUAGAGAAUACCAAGGCGCUUGAGAGAACUCGGGUGAAGGAACUAGGCAAAAUGGUGCCGUAACUUCGGGAGAAGGCACGCUGACACGUAGGUGAAGUGAUUUACUCAUGGAGCUGAAGUCAGUCGAAGAUACCAGCUGGCUGCAACUGUUUAUUAAAAACACAGCACUGUGCAAACACGAAAGUGGACGUAUACGGUGUGACGCCUGCCCGGUGCCGGAAGGUUAAUUGAUGGGGUCAGCGCAAGCGAAGCUCCUGAUCGAAGCCCCGGUAAACGGCGGCCGUAACUAUAACGGUCCUAAGGUAGCGAAAUUCCUUGUCGGGUAAGUUCCGACCUGCACGAAUGGCGUAAUGAUGGCCAGGCUGUCUCCACCCGAGACUCAGUGAAAUUGAACUCGCUGUGAAGAUGCAGUGUACCCGCGGCAAGACGGAAAGACCCCGUGAACCUUUACUAUAGCUUGACACUGAACAUUGAGCCUUGAUGUGUAGGAUAGGUGGGAGGCUUUGAAGUGUGGACGCCAGUCUGCAUGGAGCCGGCCUUGAAAUACCACCCUUUAAUGUUUGAUGUUCUAACGUGGACCCGUGAUCCGGGUUGCGGACAGUGUCUGGUGGGUAGUUUGACUGGGGCGGUCUCCUCCUAAAGAGUAACGGAGGAGCACGAAGGUUGGCUAAUCCUGGUCGGACAUCAGGAGGUUAGUGCAAUGGCAUAAGCCAGCUUGACUGCGAGCGUGACGGCGCGAGCAGGUGCGAAAGCAGGUCAUAGUGAUCCGGUGGUUCUGAAUGGAAGGGCCAUCGCUCAACGGAUAAAAGGUACUCCGGGGAUAACAGGCUGAUACCGCCCAAGAGUUCAUAUCGACGGCGGUGUUUGGCACCUCGAUGUCGGCUCAUCACAUCCUGGGGCUGAAGUAGGUCCCAAGGGUAUGGCUG